AACAAACCUGCACGUUCUGCACACGUAUCCCAGAACUUAAAGUAUUAUAAUAAUAAAAAAAGAGAAUGCCAUAGACCAGGUGGAUGAUACACAACAGAAAUUUACUUCUCACAGUGCUGGAGGCUGGGAAUUCCAAGAUAAGGCACUGGUAGUUUCGGUGUCUGGUGAGGACCUGCUUCCUCACAGAUGGCCGUCUUCUCACUGUGCCUUCACAAGGUAGAAGGGGCAGGGCAACUCUCUGGGGUCCCUUUUAUGAGGGCACUAAUCCAUUCUUGAGGGGUCCACCCUCAUGACCUAAUCACCAAAAGCCCCAUCUCCAAAUACCAUCACAUUAGGUGCCAGGAUUUCAACAUGUGAAUUGUCAGGGAUACAUAGCACUGAGAGACACCAAAUGACUUAUCUAAGGUGGCCUGGAUGGUAAGGAGCAGAACUAAAAUUCACAUUACUUCUUCUGAUUUCAAUUUCUAUGCCCUUUUUCAUAUCCACUUAGGUGUUUUUGGUUAAAUGACAGACAACUUGACCCAGAGUGUAUUAAGCUGAUUUACUGCAAACCAACACAUUUAAAAUUGGUUUCACUCAGCAUGAUAUACAGAGAAAUGGAUGAAGGAUAGAUUCUUGAGACUUAGCCCUGCUAGUAGGAUGGCCCUCUUGUACUUCCAUGUGCUUCAAACCAUGAUGACGAUGACACACCUUGGUAUUACACCUGCCCAACCAACAUGCCUGCAGAUGUUGGUUUAGCAUUGUCCGCAUUGUUCUAGAGUGAAAUGGGUGUAAGGCUGUCACCAUUCUCACAAAUUGUUAAUAAGAAGCCUUUAUCAAAGGGAUAUCUUCGGACUGUCUGUUUCUAACACCUUCUGAACCAUGACUUGGAGCCAGCAGAGGAGGCUGUGGCUACAAACUUCAGCACAACCACGAACACUGCUGUUCAAGAAAUUACAAUUUAUGUCCAUCCCAAGUUGUAAAUGCUAGUCUUUUUUUCCAUGGACCUCAGACAAUUUUAUCCAUGAAGCUCCUUCCUCAUAAAAUCUGUGGAAGCCCAAUGUAUGCCUGGAGAAAGAGGGUGCCCUGGAUCUGGAGGCUGGAGGAGCGGAGGGUAGGUGUGCUGAGCAACUCCCUCUGGCCUCCCCUUUCUCUGACCCCAGGGCUCUUCUAGGGUGAUUCUAGGCUUCCUCAGAGCACAGUUGG
rnacentral:lncRNA from 1 species